rnacentral:rRNA from 1 species
UACGAAGGGGACUAGCGUUGUUCGGAAUUACUGGGCGUAAAGCGCGCGUAGGCGGAUCGCUAAGUCAGGGGUGAAAUCCCAGGGCUCAACCAUGGAACUGCCUUUGAUACUGACGAUCUGGAGAUCGGGAGAGGUUGGUGGAAUUCCGAGUGUAGAGGUGAAAUUCGUAGAUAUUCGGAGGAACACCAGAAGCGAAGGCGGCCAACUGGCCCGAUACUGACGCUGAGGCGCGAAAGCGUGGGGAGCAAACAGG